AUUGAACGCUGGCGGCAUGCCUUACACAUGCAAGUCGAACGGUAACGCGGGGCAACCUGGCGACGAGUGGCGAACGGGUGAGUAACGCAUCGGAACGUGCCCAAUAGUGGGGGAUAGCCCGGCGAAAGCCGGAUUAAUACCGCAUACGACCUACGGGUGAAAGCAGGGGAUCGCAAGACCUUGCGCUAAUGGAGCGGCCGAUGUCAGAUUAGGUUGUUGGUGGGGUAAAAGCCCACCAAGCCGACGAUCUGUAGCUGGUCUGAGAGGACGACCAGCCAAACUGGGACUGAGACACGGCCCAGACUCCUACGGGAGGCAGCAGUGGGGAAUUUUGGACAAUGGGCGCAAGCCUGAUCCAGCCAUGCCGUGUGCGGGAUGAAGGCCUUCGGGUUGUAAACCGCUUUUGUUAGGGAAGAAAUCUUUUGAGCUAAUACCUCGGAAGGAUGACGGUACCUAAAGAAUAAGCACCGGCUAACUACGUGCCAGCAGCCGCGGUAA
rnacentral:rRNA from 1 species